UACAGAGGUCUCAAGCGUUGUUCGGAUUCAUUGGGCGUAAAGGGCGCGUAGGUGGCGGGGUAAGUCAGGCGUGAAAUCUCGGGGCUCAACCCCGAAACUGCGCUUGAUACUGCCUUGCUCGAGUACUGGAGAGGAGAUUGGAAUUUACGGUGUAGCAGUGAAAUGCGUAGAUAUCGUAAGGAAGACCAGUGGCGAAGGCGAAUCUCUGGACAGUUACUGACACUGAGGCACGAAGGCCAGGGGAGCAAACGGG
rnacentral:rRNA from 1 species